rnacentral:rRNA from 1 species
GACGAACGCUGGCGGCGUGCCUAAUACAUGCAAGUUGAGCGCUGAAGGUUGGUACUUGUACCAACUGGAUGAGCAGCGAACGGGUGAGUAACGCGUGGGGAAUCUGCCUUUGAGCGGGGGACAGCAUUUGGAAACGAAUGCUAAUACCGCAUAAAAACUUUAAACACAAGUUUUAAGUUUGAAAGAUGCAAUUGCAUCACUCAAAGAUGAUCCCGCGUUGUAUUAGCUAGUUGGUGAGGUAAAGGCUCACCAAGGCGAUGAUACAUAGCCGACCUGAGAGGGUGAUCGGCCACAUUGGGACUGAGACACGGCCCAAACUCCUACGGGAGGCAGCAGUAGGGAAUCUUCGGCAAUGGACGAAAGUCUGACCGAGCAACGCCGCGUGAGUGAAGAAGGUUGUCGGAUCGUAAAACUCUGUUGGUAGAGAAGAACGUUGGUGAGAGUGGAAAGCUCAUCAAGUGACGGUAACUACCCAGAAAGGGACGGCUAACUACGUG